ACGAACGCUGGCGGCGUGCUUAACACAUGCAAGUCGAACGGAAAGGCCCUGCUUUUGUGGGGUGCUCGAGUGGCGAACGGGUGAGUAACACGUGAGUAACCUGCCCUUGACUUUGGGAUAACUUCAGGAAACUGGGGCUAAUACCGGAUAGGGGCUCCUGCUGCAUGGUGGGGGUUGGAAAGUUUCGGCGGUUGGGGAUGGACUCGCGGCUUAUCAGCUUGUUGGUGGGGUAGUGGCUUACCAAGGCUUUGACGGGUAGCCGGCCUGAGAGGGUGACCGGCCACAUUGGGACUGAGAUACGGCCCAGACUCCUACGGGAGGCAGCAGUGGGGAAUAUUGCACAAUGGGCGGAAGCCUGAUGCAGCAACGCCGCGUGCGGGAUGACGGCCUUCGGGUUGUAAACCGCUUCCGCCUGUGACGAAGCGUGAGUGACGGUAAUGGGUAAAGAAGCACCGGCUAACUACGUG
rnacentral:rRNA from 1 species